rnacentral:rRNA from 1 species
GUGGGGAAUAUUGGACAAUGGGGGCAACCCUGAUCCAGCAAUGCCGCGUGUGUGAAGAAGGCCUGAGGGUUGUAAAGCACUUUCAGUGGGGAGGAGGAUUGACAGGUUAAGAGCUAGUUAAUUGGACGUUACCCACAGAAGAAGCACCGGCUAACUCCGUGCCAGCAGCCGCGGUAAUACGGAGGGUGCAAGCGUUAAUCGGAAUUACUGGGCGUAAAGGGUGCGUAGGUGGUUGUAUAAGUUAACUGUGAAAUCCCCGGGCUCAACCUGGGCAGGUCAGUUAAGACUGUAUGACUCGAGUAUGGGAGAGAGUAGUGGAAUUUCCGGUGUAGCGGUGAAAUGCGUAGAGAUCGGAAGGAACACCAGUGGCGAAGGCGGCUACCUGGCCCAAUACUGACACUGAGGCACGAAAGCGUGGGGAGCAAACAGGAUUAGAAACCCGUGUAGUCC